rnacentral:rRNA from 1 species
AUAAGUCAGAUAUGAAAUCCCCGGGCUCAACCUGGGAACUGCAUUUGAGACUGUAUAGCUAGAGCACGGUAGAGGGGGAAGGAAUUCCGCGUGUAGCAGUGAAAUGCGUAGAUAUGCGCAGGAACACCGAUGGCGAAGGCAAUCCCCUGGACCUGUACUGACGCUCAUGCACGAAAGCGUGGGGAGCAAACAGGAUUAGAUACCCUGGUAGUCCAAGCCCUAAACGAUGUCAACUGGUUGUUGGGUCUUAACUGACUCAGUAACGAAGCUAAGGCGUGAAGUUGACCGCCUGGGGAGUACGGCCGCAAGGUUGAAACUCAAUGGAAUUGACGGGGACCCGCACAAGCGGUGGAUGAUGUGGUUUAAUUCGAUGCAACGCGAAAAACCUUACCCACCUUUGACAUGUACGGAAGGAUCCAGAGAUGGAUUUGUGCCCGAAAGAGAACCGUAACACAGGUGCUGCACGGCUAUCGUCAGCUCGUGUCGUAAGAUGUUGGGUUAAGUCCCGCAACGAGCGCAACCCUUGUCAUUAGUUGCUACA